rnacentral:misc_RNA from 1 species
UACGGAGGGUGCAAGCGUUGUUCGGAUUUACUGGGCGUAAAGCGCGCGCAGGCGGAUUUGCAAGUCAGAUGUUAAAUCUCGGGGCUCAACCCCGAAACUGCGUCUGAAACUGCUUGUCUAGAGUCUCAUAGGGGGCAGGGGAAUUUCCCGUGUAGGGGUAAAAUCCGUAGAGAUGUGAAGGAACACCCGUGGCGAAGGCGCCUGCCUGGACGAGCACUGAUGCUGAGGCGCGAAAGCGUGGGGAGCAAACAGG